CCCCCCGGGAGCUGGUGAGGACCAGGGUCACCGUCACCGACCUGGAGCCGUACGUCAACUACACCUUCACGGUUGAAGCCCGCAAUGGGGUGUCCCCAUACAGCCAACACCGCAGUGUGGCCACCGCAACCAUCAGCGUCAACCAGACGGGUAGGGAGCCACCAGCAUCUUCCAACCUUCCUCACAUCACCUCCGCCAUGUCCUUGUUACCCCCCUGGGUAACACUGUUGUGUCCAUGGGGCACCUUCAUUGUGUCUUUAACCCUGGUGGUGACACCUCCAUGUCCCCCUGGCAGAGCCACCCCGGGUGACGUCGGUGAGCCUGGAUGGACGGACAUCCACCAGCUUGGUCCUCUCCUGGACGGUGCCACCGCGGCAGCAGAGUCGGGUCUGGAAGUACGAGGUCACCUACAGCAAGAAGGUGGAUGAGAACAGUUACUCAGUGCUGCGCUGCGAGGGCACCUCCGUCACCCUCCCCAAGCUGUCCCCUGCCACCACCUACGUGGUGCGGGUGCAGGCGCUCACCUCUGAUGGCCACGGGGCCUACAGCCCCCAGCACGAAUUCGAGACCCUGCCCGAGGGCGCUGAGGCCAUGGCAUCAGCCACCAUCAUCAGCGGCUCCAUCGUUGGUGUUGUCUUUGUCCUCCUGCUCUUGGGUGCUCUCCUCUAUAUCCUGCGACGGUAAGGGGAUAAAAUACCCCAACUCCACA
rnacentral:lncRNA from 14 species